GCUGGGGUGGUGGAAUUGGUAGACACGUUAGCCUUAGGAGCUAAUGACUUUUAGUUGUGCGAGUUCGAAUCUCGCUCCCAGCA
rnacentral:tRNA from 1 species